rnacentral:rRNA from 1 species
CGAAAUAGCUUUAGGGCUAGCCUCAAGUGAUGAUUAUUGGAGGUAGAGCACUGUUUGGACGAGGGGCCCCUCUCGGGUUACCGAAUUCAGACAAACUCCGAAUGCCAAUUAAUUUAACUUGGGAGUCAGAACAUGGGUGAUAAGGUCCGUGUUCGAAAGGGAAACAGCCCAGACCACCAGCUAAGGUCCCAAAAUAUAUGUUAAGUGGAAAAGGAUGUGGCGUUGCCCAGACAACUAGGAUGUUGGCUUAGAAGCAGCCAUCAUUUAAAGAGUGCGUAAUAGCUCACUAGUCGAGUGACACUGCGCCGAAAAUGUACCGGGGCUAAACAUAUUACCGAAGCUGUGGAUUGUCCUUUGGACAAUGGUAGGAGAGCGUUCUAAGGGCGUUGAAGCAUGAUCGUAAGGACAUGUGGAGCGCUUAGAAGUGAGAAUGCCGGUGUGAGUAGCGAAAGACGGGUGAGAAUCCCGUCCACCGAUUGACUAAGGUUUCCAGAGGAAGGCUCGUCCGCUCUGGGUUAGUCGGGUCCUAAGCUGAGGCCGACAGGCGUAGGCGAUGGAUAACAGGUUGAUAUUCCUGUACCACCUAUAAUCGUUUUAAUCGAUGGGGGGACGCAGUAGGAUAGGCGAAGCGUGCGAUUGGAUUGCACGUCUAAGCAGUAAGGCUGAGUAUUAGGCAAAUCCGGUACUCGUUAAGGCUGAGCUGUGAUGGGGAGAAGACAUUGUGUCUUCGAGUCGUUGAUUUCACACUGCCGAGAAAAGCCUCUAGAUAGAAAAUAGGUGCCCGUACCGCAAACCGACACAGGUAGUCAAGAUGAGAAUUCUAAGGUGAGCGAGCGAACUCUCGUUAAGGAACUCGGCAAAAUGACCCCGUAACUUCGGGAGAAGGGGUGCUCUUUAGGGUUAACGCCCAGAAGAGCCGCAGUGAAUAGGCCCAAGCGACUGUUUAUCAAAAACACAGGUCUCUGCUAAACCGUAAGGUGAUGUAUAGGGGCUGACGCCUGCCCGGUGCUGGAAGGUUAAGAGGAGUGGUUAGCUUCUGCGAAGCUACGAAUCGAAGCCCCAGUAAACGGCGGCCGUAACUAUAACGGUCCUAAGGUAGCGAAAUUCCUUGUCGGGUAAGUUCCGACCCGCACGAAAGGCGUAACGAUUUGGGCACUGUCUCAACGAGAGACUCGGUGAAAUCAUAGUACCUGUGAAGAUGCAGGUUACCCGCGACAGGACGGAAAGACCCCGUGGAGCUUUACUGUAGCCUGAUAUUGAAAUUCGGCACAGCUUGUACAGGAUAGGUAGGAGCCUUUGAAACGUGAGCGCUAGCUUACGUGGAGGCGCUGGUGGGAUACUACCCUAGCUGUGUUGGCUUUCUAACCCGCACCACUUAUCGUGGUGGGAGACAGUGUCAGGCGGGCAGUUUGACUGGGGCGGUCGCCUCCUAAAAGGUAACGGAGGCGCUCAAAGGUUCCCUCAGAAUGGUUGGAAAUCAUUCAUAGAGUGUAAAGGCAUAAGGGAGCUUGACUGCGAGACCUACAAGUCGAGCAGGGUCGAAAGACGGACUUAGUGAUCCGGUGGUUCCGCAUGGAAGGGCCAUCGCUCAACGGAUAAAAGCUACCCCGGGGAUAACAGGCUUAUCUCCCCCAAGAGUUCACAUCGACGGGGAGGUUUGGCACCUCGAUGUCGGCUCAUCGCAUCCUGGGGCUGUAGUCGGUCCCAAGGGUUGGGCUGUUCGCCCAUUAAAGCGGUACGCGAGCUGGGUUCAGAACGUCGUGAGACAGUUCGGUCCCUAUCCGUCGUGGGCGUAGGAAAUUUGAGAGGAGCUGUCCUUAGUACGAGAGGACCGGGAUGGACAUACCUCUGGUGUACCAGUUGUCGUGCCAACGGCAUAGCUGGGUAGCUAUGUGUGGACGGGAUAAGUGCUGAAAGCAUCUAAGCAUGAAGCCCCCCUCAAGAUGAGAUUUCCCAACUUCGGUUAUAAGAUCCCUCAAAGAUGAUGAGGUUAAUAGGUUCGAGGUGGAAGCAUGGUGACAUGUGGAGCUGACGAAUACUAAUCGAUCGAAGACUUAAUCAA